rnacentral:lncRNA from 1 species
UUGCUCGUGGAGUGACGUUGAUGCACUUCCUUCUUUUUCUGUCAUGCCUCCUUUCUUUCUCGCCUUGCUUUUCUUGCCUAUCUUGCUUUACUUGCGUCUGGCCAACUUGCUAACCAGGUUCUUGCGUUUCUGACCGACUUGCUAAUCAGAUUUUUAUGUACCCUGACCCACUUGCUAAUCAGGUUCUGACCGACUUGCUGAUCAGAUUCUUGCUAACUUGCUAUUGCGAGUGAUAAAAAAUAUCCAACCAACUUGCUAAUUGGACUUAAUUUAAUCGACCCGCUGUACUUGCUUUUUCUUGCUUUGACCAAGAAUGGUCGUUUCUUGCUAUUUUGAACCAAACGAUCCGGAACUUGCUAUUUGAACCAAGAAUCGGUUUAACUUG